rnacentral:rRNA from 1 species
AUGAACGCUAGCUACAGGCUUAACACAUGCAAGUCGAGGGGCAGCAUGGUCUUAGCUUGCUAAGGCCGAUGGCGACCGGCGCACGGGUGAGUAACACGUAUCCAACCUGCCGUCUACUCUUGGACAGCCUUCUGAAAGGAAGAUUAAUACAAGAUGGCAUCAUGAGUCCGCAUGUUCACAUGAUUAAAGGUAUUCCGGUAGACGAUGGGGAUGCGUUCCAUUAGAUAGUAGGCGGGGUAACGGCCCACCUAGUCUUCGAUGGGUAGGGGUUCUGAGAGGAAGGUCCCCCACAUUGGAACUGAGACACGGUCCAAACUCCUACGGGAGGCAGCAGUGAGGAAUAUUGGUCAAUGGGCGAGAGCCUGAACCAGCCAAGUAGCGUGAAGGAUGACUGCCCUAUGGGUUGUAAACUUCUUUUAUAAAGGAAUAAAGUCGGGUAUGGAUACCCGUUUGCAUGUACUUUAUGAAUAAGGAUCGGCUAACUCCGUGCCAGCAGCCGCGGUAAUACGGAGGAUCCGAGCGUUAUCCGGAUUUAUUGGGUUUAAAGGGAGCGUAGAUGGAUGUUUAAGUCAGUUGUGAAAGUUUGCGGCUCAACCGUAAAAUUGCAGUUGAUACUGGAUAUCUUGAGUGCAGUUGAGGCAGGUGGAAUUCGUGGUGUAGCGGUGAAAUGCUUAGAUAUCACGAAGAACUCCGAUUGCGAAGGCAGCCUGCUAAGCUGCAACUGACAUUGAGGCUCGAAAGUGUGGGUAUCAAACAGGAUUAGAUACCCUGGUAGUCCACACGGUAAACGAUGAAUACUCGCUGUUUGCGAUAUACUGCAAGCGGCCAAGCGAAAGCGUUAAGUAUUCCACCUGGGGAGUACGCCGGCAACGGUGAAACUCAAAGGAAUUGACGGGGGCCCGCACAAGCGGAGGAACAUGUGGUUUAAUUCGAUGAUACGCGAGGAACCUUACCCGGGCUUAAAUUGCAGAUGAAUUACGGUGAAAGCCGUAAGCCGCAAGGCAUCUGUGAAGGUGCUGCAUGGUUGUCGUCAGCUCGUGCCGUGAGGUGUCGGCUUAAGUGCCAUAACGAGCGCAACCCUUGUUGUCAGUUACUAACAGGUUCCGCUGAGGACUCUGACAAGACUGCCAUCGUAAGAUGUGAGGAAGGUGGGGAUGACGUCAAAUCAGCACGGCCCUUACGUCCGGGGCUACACACGUGUUACAAUGGGGGGUACAGAGGGCCGCUACCACGCGAGUGGAUGCCAAUCCCCAAAACCUCUCUCAGUUCGGACUGGAGUCUGCAACCCGACUCCACGAAGCUGGAUUCGCUAGUAAUCGCGCAUCAGCCACGGCGCGGUGAAUACGUUCCCGGGCCUUGUACACACCGCCCGUCAAGCCAUGGGAGCCGGGGGUACCUGAAGUGCGUAACCGCGAGGAGCGCCCUAGGGUAAAACUGG